GGAGGACAGGUGGUGCCUGGUUGUCGUCAGCUCGUGUCGUGAGAUGUUGGGUUAAGUCCCGCAACCGAGCGCAACCCCUACGUUUAGUUGCUAACGCGUGAAGGCGAGCACUCUAGACGAACUGCCGUUGACAAACGGAGGAAGGUGGGAUGACGUCAAAUCAUCAUGCCCUUAUGUUCUGGGCUACACACGUGCUACAAUGGCCGGUACAGACGGAUGCAAAGCCGCGAGGCGGAGCAAAUCCGAAAAAGCCGGUCUCAGUUCGGAUUGCAGGCUGCAAUUCGCCUGCAUGAAGUCGGAAUCGCUAGUAAUCGCAGGUCAGCAUACUGCGGUGAAUACGUUCCCGGGCCUU
rnacentral:rRNA from 1 species